AUUGCAACAUUUUUCAAUUCCCUUCUAAUUUUCCCCAAAACAGAACUUCUUUUAAGCGUCUCUUUUUUCAAUUUUCUAUUUCACUUUGUAUGUUUUGCCAAAUAUAUAUACUUAAACACUCUUAUAACAUUUCUCUAGAGAACCCAUCGAAUCCCUCUAAAAAAUACAUCAAAUCACUUCUAGAAACCCUCUCAUCGAGUAAAGGCACAAUGCCGACCCAGUUCUUAUCGAGCAAAGGGAGAUCUCGAAUCUAGAUUUAGCAAAGGGAUAUCGCAGAUCCAGAUGUCAUCAAGCAAAUCUAGAACGCCGACUAUAUUUCAUUUUCAAGCUUCUUCAGCCUAGACUUCAUCUCCCAUUUUUUGUCCAAAACGAGAAUCUAGAACUUGUAAUCAGUCCUUUACACCAAAAAUCAUCAUACAAAAUCAAUUGUAGAAUCCCCAAAUUCAUCUUAAAACAACUCUUCACCAACUGUAGUUUGAAGUCUUAGAGAUUUAGAGAUGUGUUAUCAAAACUAGGGUUUGCAGAUUUAUCGAGAUCCCUGGUAGGUCAAAGUAUUUGGUAAAUUUUGCUCAAUUGAAGGACCAUAGCUGCAACAGUAUCCAGUCCAUAAGCUGCCGUGUCAGAUACCCCAGUAGCCUGCUUGAAUUUUGUAUCAAGCGAUGAAAGUUUGAAGCAAAUGGAGGUUUGUUUUUGGAGUAUAGGCUAUAAGUCACUAUUGACUUUCUGAAGAAAAGAUAAGUUAAUUAUUUAUAAUUCUUGGUUUUAGACUACUGUUCAAGCUUUAUGUCAAUUAUUAUUUGGUUACGUUAUUGUGAGUUCCUGAUUAUUUGUGCGUCAUGACUUGUCUUAGGAGUAACAGGGCUGCUAGAAGCAUAUGUCAAGAGGCAAUAGAUUUAGAAUUAAGCAUUAAGGAAUAGCAGUUAUUGGUCAGAUUGGUUUUUCUAACAAGGUGAAGCAAAUGAAUGAAUGAUAGAUAAUAGCAGAGAAGAACUUGGAUGUAUUAGUGAUCGUUGCUAGAAUUUCAGAUGUUCUAGGAAUUAUUUAUUUUUGAAAUUUGUGAAAAAUUAAGUUCGCCAUUAUAUAUUUUGAUACACAAGUUAGAUAUUUUGGAUUAUGAUUUUAUUGAUGAAUAGUUUUCUUUUGUGAA